rnacentral:rRNA from 1 species
GACGUAGGAUGCAAGCGUUGUCCGGAAUUAUUGGGCGUAAAGAGUUCGUAGGCGGUUAUCCAAGUCUGGUGUUAAAGCCCGAAGCUCAACUUCGGCAUGGCAUUGGAAACUGGAUGGCUAGAGUGUGGUAGAGGUAUCGGGAAUUCCUGGUGUAGCGGUGGAAUGCGCAGAUAUCAGGAGGAACACCGGUGGCGAAGGCGGGGUCUCUGGGCAGUAACUGACGCUGAGGAGCGAAAAGCGUGGGGGAGCGAACAGG